CCUACGGGUGGCAGCAGUGGGGAAUAUUGCACAAUGGGGGAAACCCUGAUGCAGCGACGCCGCGUGAGUGAAGAAGUAAUUCGUUACGUAAAGCUCUAUCAGUAGGGAAGAAAUACUGACCUUACGGUCAGCAGACGGUACCUGAGUAAGAAGCCCCGGCUAAAUACGUGCCAGCAGCCGCGGUGAUACGUAGGGGGCAAGCGUUUUCCGGAUUUACUGGGGGUAAAGGGGGAGUAGACGGUGCGCCAAGGCUGGAGUGAAAUGCCGCAGCCUAACUGCGGAACUGCUUUGGAAACUGGCGAACUAGAGUGCGGGAGGGGUAAGCGGAAUUCCUAGUGUAGCGGUGAAAUGCGUAGAUAUUAGGAGGAACACCGGUGGCGAAGGCGGCUUACUGGACCGUAACUGACGUUGAGGCUCGAAAGCGUGGGUAGCAAACAGGAUUAGAUACCCUGGUAGUC
rnacentral:rRNA from 1 species